GACGAACGCUGGCGGCGUGCCUAACACAUGCAAGUCGAACGAGAUCCAUGGGAGCUUGCUCCCGGAAGAUCUAGUGGCGAACGGGUGAGUAACACGUGAGAAACCUGCCCUGGAGUGGGGAAUAACUCGGGGAAACUCGAGCUAAUACCGCAUACCCUCGGAUGGUCGCAUGGCCGACCGAGGAAAGAUUUAUCGCUCUAGGAGGGUCUCGCGGCCUAUCAGCUAGUUGGUGGGGUAACGGCCUACCAAGGCAACGACGGGUAGCUGGUUUGAGAGAACGAUCAGCCACACUGGGACUGAGACACGGCCCAGACUCCUACGGGAGGCAGCAGUGGGGAAUCUUGCGCAAUGGGCGAAAGCCUGACGCAGCAACGCCGCGUGCGGGAUGACGGCCUCGUGUGUAACGACGUUCUAGCAGGACGGAAAAGUAAGAACGGUAACCGUACG
rnacentral:rRNA from 1 species